rnacentral:rRNA from 1 species
AUUGAACGCUGGCGGCAUGCCUUACACAUGCAAGUCGAACGGCAGCGGACCUUCGGGUGCCGGCGAGUGGCGAACGGGUGAGUAAUGCAUCGGAACGUGCCAUUGAGUGGGGGAUAACGUAGCGAAAGUUACGCUAAUACCGCAUAUUCUGUGAGCAGGAAAGCAGGGGACCGCAAGGCCUUGCGCUCUUUGAGCGGCCGAUGUCAGAUUAGCUAGUUGGUGAGGUAAAGGCUUACCAAGGCGACGAUCUGUAGCGGGUCUGAGAGGAUGAUCCGCCACACUGGAACUGAGACACGGUCCAGACUCCUACGGGAGGCAGCAGUGGGGAAUUUUGGACAAUGGGCGCAAGCCUGAUCCAGCCAUGCCGCGUGAGUGAAGAAGGCCUCGGUUGUAAG